CCUACGGGUGGCUGCAGUAGGGAAUAUUGCUCAAUGGGGGAAACCCUGAAGCAGCAACGCCGCGUGGAGGCUGAAGGUUUUCGGAUUGUAAACUCCUUUUGUUAGAGAAGAUACUGACGGUAUCUCACGAAUAAGCACCGGCUAACUCCUUGCCAGCAGCCGCGGUAAUACGGAGUGUGCAAGCGUUACUCGGAAUCACUGGGCGUAAAGAUCGCGUAGGCGGGAUAGCAAGUCAGAUGUGAAAUCACAUGGCUUAACCAUAGAUCUGCAUUUGAAACUGUGAGUCUAGAGUAUGGUAGAGGUAGGGGGAAUUCUUGGUGUAGGGGUAAAAUCCGUAGAGAUCAAGAGGAAUACUCAUUGCGAAGGCGACCUGCUAGAACAUAACUGACGCUGAGGCGCGAAAGCGUGGGGAGCAAACAGGAUUAGAUACCCCUGUAGUC
rnacentral:rRNA from 1 species